GAAUAAUCGAAUCAAUAAUAAACCCCUCCGCCAGCUGAUAACUGAUUAGGGUGUACCACGGACUCUUCCGUUGCAGUAGCGGCUCUCGAUGGUGCUUUAACGUUGGCGGUGUUGGCGUAAUUGCUUUGGUUACAGUUGGUGCACCAGUUGGUCUAUUGCCAUGCUCGGGGCGGUUUGUUUACUGUAUCUGGUGGCAGGCGCUUGUGUGGUAGCUUUUCGCAAGCCAAAGGGGCACUCCAAUUCAACCUCCUUCCCUCCCCACCCCCUCCAUCCACCCCAGGGAAACAUCGGAUCGCUGUUUGACAGCGACGCGAACGUGGGCUAGAAAUAAAAGCAAGGGUUCUAAUUUUAACGGAAGCGGGCCACGCGGACCCAGCACCCAGAGCUGCCUGAUACGGGCCUGUCCAUCAAGUGCAUGCAGGCCGAACAGUGAUAGCACUUGAGAGGGAAGGGAGUAGUGGGUGGAGAGAGUUUUGGAAAAUGUUUCGAUUUUCUGAAGCACCAGCAGCAGGGGUAGGACGAAGGCGCUGUUUUAAUGCUGUAUUUGUGAGGUGGAAACUGCUGCUUAAUGGUUAUUAUCAGUUAUUGAUGCGAACGAAGCAUUAUGUGCAAAAGUUUUGUUUUUAAAUGUAGCUGUGUAUGAACAUACACUGCAAGCGCAUUGGUGCUGUGUGUUUAGAAAGGGUUGAUUGUAUGAGUAUCCGCGGUAUUUAACCAUAUCGAAGGCUGUCAGUCACGUUGUGUGCAGUGAUUGAUGGUUGAUUGGUACGAUCACAGCUAGGUUGAAGGGGUAAAAGGUAGAAACUACACCAUUGGCAGCACGUUUCCUUGCGCAUUGGUGUACGGCGCCAAUGGAGUCCCCUGGUGGUUCACGCACUGCGCAAAGCGAAUUUCAUUUGCGGAAUGGUCUUGCAAGUACAUAAUGUGCCAACAUUGAUUGUAUAAUUUGUUCGCGUAGAAAAUAUAAUGGAAGUUUGUGGUAAUUUUUAAUACUGUUGAUCACAAUUUUA